rnacentral:rRNA from 1 species
UGCGCAGGCGGUUUCUUAAGUCUGAUGUGAAAGCCCCCGGCUCAACCGGGGAGGGUCAUUGGAAACUGGGAGACUUGAGUGCAGAAGAGGAGAGUGGAAUUCCAUGUGUAGCGGUGAAAUGCGUAGAUAUAUGGAGGAACACCAGUGGCGAAGGCGGCUCUCUGGUCUGUAACUGACGCUGAGGCUCGAAAGCGUGGGGAGCAAACA